rnacentral:rRNA from 1 species
GACGAACGCUGGCGGCGUGCUUAACACAUGCAAGUCGAACGGAAAGGCCCUGCUUUUGUGGGGUGCUCGAGUGGCGAACGGGUGAGUAACACGUGAGUAACCUGCCCUUGACUUUGGGAUAACUUCAGGAAACUGGGGCUAAUACCGGAUAGGAGCUCCUGCUGCAUGGUGGGGGUUGGAAAGUUUCGGCGGUUGGGGAUGGACUCGCGGCUUAUCAGCUUGUUGGUGGGGUAGUGGCUUACCAAGGCUUUGACGGGUAGCCGGCCUGGGAGGGUGACCGGCCACAUUGGGACGGAGAUACGGCCCAGACUCCUACGGGAGGCAGCGGUGGGGAAUAUUGCACAAGGGGCGGAAGCCUGAUGCAGCAACGCCGCGUGCGGGAUGACGGCCUUCGGGUUGUAAACCGCUUUCGCCUGUGACGAAGCGUGAGUGACGGUAAUGGGUAAAGAAGCACCGGCUAACUACGUG